GCCGGGAUAGCUCAGUUGGUAGAGCAGAGGGCUGAAAAUCCUCGUGUCACCAGUU
rnacentral:tRNA from 1 species